UCUUCGCCGGGAUCGGACGGCGGCAGAUCAGGGCUGCCCGCAACGCGGCCGGGGCCGUGUGGCUGGCCCUGGCGUUCGGGGCGCUGGCGGUGGC
rnacentral:tRNA from 1 species